rnacentral:rRNA from 1 species
GUUGUUGUGUCAUUAGUCUGAGUGGUAAACACAUGAAACAAGUUAAAACUUUCAACAACGGAUCUCUUGGUUCUCGCAUCGAUGAAGAACGCAGCGAAAUGCGAUAAGUAGUGUGAAUUGCAGAAUUCAGUGAAUCAUCGAAUCUUUGAACGCACAUUGCGCCUUCUGGUAUUCCGGGAGGCAUGCCUGUUCGAGCGUCAUCAAACACAUCCUCAAGCACUUUUGCUUGGUAUUGGUGGCAGAUGUCCGCAUCUCCUCUUAAAUUCCUCAGCGGAAACUACUGCGGUCUCAGGUGUCAUAAGAUUACCUUUCGCUUGAUAACUGCCGGUAGGUUCUUGCUGUGAAGAGCCCCCCAGCUAUUCUUUUACGUUUGACCUCGAAUCAGGUAGGGAUACCCGCUGAACUUAAGCAUAUC